AUUGAACGCUGGCGGCAUGAUUUACACAUGCAAGUCGAACGGUAACAGGCCGCAAGGUGCUGACGAGUGGCGAACGGGUGAGUAAUGCAUCGGAACGUGCCCAGUCGUGGGGGAUAACUACUCGAAAGAGUAGCUAAUACCGCAUACGAUCUAUGGAUGAAAGCGGGGGACCGUAAGGCCUCGCGCGAUUGGAGCGGCCGAUGUCAGAUUAGGUAGUUGGUGGGGUAAAGGCUCACCAAGCCAACGAUCUGUAGCUGGUCUGAGAGGACGACCAUCCACACUGGGACUGAGACACGGCCCAGACUCCUACGGGAGGCAGCAGUGGGGAAUUUUGGACAAUGGGCGCAAGCCUGAUCCAGCAAUGCCGCGUGCAGGAAGAAGGCCUUCGGGUUGUAAACUGCUUUUGUACGGAACGAAACGGCUCUGGUUAAUACCCGGGGCUAAUGACGGUACCGUAAGAAUAAGCACCGGCUAACUACGUG
rnacentral:rRNA from 1 species